UACGUAGGGUGCGAGCGUUAAUCGGAAUUACUGGGCGUAAAGGGCGCGUAGGCGGCCUGGCAAGUGGAAGGUGAAAUCCCUCGGCUUAACCGAGGAACUGCCUCCCAAACUGCUUGGCUUGAGACCGGGAGAGGUGAGUGGAAUUCCCAGUGUAGCAGUGAAAUGCGUAGAUAUGCGGAGGAACACCGAUGGCGAAGGCAGUCCCCUGGGCCUGUAUUGACGCUCAUGCACGAAAGCGUGGGGAGCAAACAGG
rnacentral:rRNA from 1 species